rnacentral:rRNA from 1 species
UACAGAGGUCUCAAGCGUUGUUCGGAUUCAUUGGGCGUAAAGGGUGCGCAGGCGGCGCCGUUAGUCGGGUGUGAAAUCCCGGGGCUUAACCCCGGAACUGCACUCGAUACUGCGGUGCUCGAGAGCUGGAGAGGAGAUUGGAAUUCCUGGUGUAGCAGUGAAAUGCGUAGAUAUCAGGAGGAACGCCAAUGGCGAAGGCAGAUCUCUGGACAGCUUCUGACGCUGGGGCACGAAGGCCAGGGGAGCAAACGGG